GACGAACGCUGGCGGCGUGCUUAACACAUGCAAGUCGAACGGAAAGGCCCUGCUUUUGUGGGGUGCUCGAGUGGCGAACGGGUGAGUAACACGUGAGUAACCUGCCCUUGACUUUGGGAUAACUUCAGGAAACUGGGGCUAAUACCGGAUAGGAGCUCCUGCUGCAUGGUGGGGGUUGGAAAGUUUCGGCGGUUGGGGAUGGACUCGCGGCUUAUCAGCUUGUUGGUGGGGUAGUGGCUUACCAAGGCUUUGACGGGUAGCCGGCCUGAGAGGGUGACCGGCCACAUUGGGACUGGGAUACGGCCCAGACUCCAACGGGAGGCAGCAGUGGGGAAUAUUGCACAAUGGGCGGAAGCCUGAUGCAGCAACGCCGCGUGCGGGAUGACGGCCUUCGGGGUGUAAACCGCUUUCGCCUGUGACGAAGCGUGAGUGACGGUAAUGGGUAAAGAAGCACCGGCUAACUACGUG
rnacentral:rRNA from 1 species